rnacentral:piRNA from 1 species
UGUGUGAUGCGAAAUAUUUUU